rnacentral:rRNA from 1 species
GAGAGUUUGAUCCUGGCUCAGGUCGAACGCUGGCGGUGUGUCUAAGGCAUGCAAGUUGAGCGAACUUUAUUUCUUCGGAAGUUAAGUUAGCGGCAAACGGGAGAGUAACGCAUUAGUAAUUCACCUUGUACUCGUGAAUAGCCCAGAGAAAUCUGGAGUAAUACACGAUAUGAUGGGGGGACAAAAGUCAUUCCCAUUGAAAGUUCCGACGGUGCAAGAGAAGCUUAUGUUCUAUCAGCUAGUUGGUGAGGUAAAGGCUCACCAAGGCUACGACGGAUACCGGGCGUGAGAGCGUGACCCGGCUCACUGGGACUGAGACACGGCACAGACACCUACGGGUGGCUGCAGUCAAGAAUAUUCCGCAAUGCACGAAAGUGUGACGGAGCGACGCCGCGUGAUGGAUGAAGGCUUUCGGGUCGUAA